rnacentral:rRNA from 1 species
GACGAACGCUGGCGGCGUGCUUAACACAUGCAAGUCGAACGGAAAGGCCCUGCAUUUGUGGGGUGCUCGAGUGGCGAACGGGUGAGUAACACGUGAGUAACCUGCCCUUGACUUUGGGAUAACUUCAGGAAACUGGGGCUAAUACCGGAUAGGAGCUCCUGCUGCAUGGUGGAGGUUGGAAAGUUUCGGCGGUUGGGGAUGGACUCGCGGCUUAUCAGCUUGUUGGUGGGGUAGUGGCUUACCAAGGCUUUGACGGGUAGCCGGCCUGAGAGGGUGACCGGCCACAUUGGGACUGAGAUACGGCCCAGACUCCUACGGGAGGCAGCAGUGGGGAAUAUUGCACAAUGGGCGGAAGCCUGAUGCAGCAACGCCGCGUGCGGGAUGACGGCCUUCGGGUUGUAAACCGCUUUCGCCUGUGACGAAGCGUGAGUGACGGUAAUGGGUAAAGAAGCACCGGCUAACUACGUG